CCCGGCUUGUUGAAUUCAAUAACAAUAAUAAUAUUGAUAAGUCCGCAAUUUUUUUUAUUAAUUGUAAUUCAAUGAAUUGUUUUGUGUCCUGUAAUGAAAAGAACAAAAAUUUCAAGUGAAGUGCUUAGCGUAGAAUAGGCCCUGUAUAAGAAAAGUGCUAAGAAUCUGGUGAAAAAUGGCAAUAGGAAGAUUGUACUGUUUUUUUCAUUGGAAAUUCAGGCAUCAGUUGCACGGCGGCCACCAGGUGUGGCAAACGUAAAAGCGCACGCCGCCUGUCACGUUUCGCGCAUUUUUUUCAAUUCAUGUAAGUAGAUAAACA